GCAGGGCAUGGUGGUGCACACCUGUAAUCCCAGCAGCUUGGGAGGCCGAGGCAGGAGGAUCAAGAGUUUAAAGCCAGCCUCAGCAACUUAGUGAGGCCCUAAGCAACUCAGUGAGACCCUGUCUCUG
rnacentral:sRNA from 1 species